GCAUGUUCACAUGAUUAAAGGUAUUCCGGUAGACGAUGGGGAUGCGUUCCAUUAGAUAGUAGGCGGGGUAACGGCCCACCUAGUCUUCGAUGGAUAGGGGUUCUGAGAGGAAGGUCCCCCACAUUGGAACUGAGACACGGUCCAAACUCCUACGGGAGGCAGCAGUGAGGAAUAUUGGUCAAUGGGCGAGAGCCUGAACCAGCCAAGUAGCGUGAAGGGUGACUGCCCUAUGGGUUGUAAACUUCUUUUAUAAAGGAAUAAAGUCGGGUAUGCAUACCUGUUUGCAUGUACUUUAUGAAUAAGGAUCGGCUAACUCCGUGCCAGCAGCCGCGGUAAUACGGAGGAUCCGAGCGUUAUCCGGAUUUAUUGGGUUUAAAGGGAGCGUAGAUGGAUGUUUAAGUCAGUUGUGAAAGUUUGCGGCUCAACCGUAAAAUUGCAGUUGAUACUGGAUAUCUUGAGUGCAGUUGAGGCAGGCGGAAUUCGUGGUGUAGCGGUGAAAUGCUUAGAUAUCACGAAGAACUCCGAUUGCGAAGGCAGCCUGCUAAGCUGCAACUGACAUUGAGGCUCGAAAGUGUGGGUAUCAAACAGGAUUAGAUACCCUGGUAGUCCACACGGUAAACGAUGAAUACUCGCUGUUUGCGAUAUACAGCAAGCGGCC
rnacentral:rRNA from 1 species